rnacentral:lncRNA from 1 species
AUUGAAUCUCCUUUUGUUUGUCAGGGUUGAUGAUGAUGACACCAGCACCCGAGCCCGAGGAGUUGGAUGCUCCAUCUACAAAAAUUUGCCAAGUGUCCAAACUGGUGCUCAUGCUCGAGCUUUCUCCUGGCCCCCGAGGCCUAUGGGUUAGUUCUGCAAUGAAGUCGGCUAGUGCUUGGGCUUUAAUAGAUGGGCGUGGUUUGAAUUCGAUGUCAAAUUCUCCAAGCUCGAUCGCCCAUUUCAUCAGUCUUCCUGAGACGUCCGACUUUUGAAGUAUAUGCCUAAGUGGUUGAUUAGUGAGCACCACAAUAGGGUGAGACUGAAAAUAUUGCCGGAGUUUUCGUGCUGCUAUCACCAAGGCAAGGGCAAGUUGUUCCGCCAAAGUAUACCUUGUUUCCGCAUCUAGUAGGGCCUUGCUUUCAUAGUAGAUAGGUUGUUGGACUCUGUAAACCUCUUUCACCAAGAUCCUGCUGACCGUGUUUUGAGAUAUGGCCAGGUACAAAAAUAAGGUGUCACCAGGCUCAGGCCUAGUGAGAAUAGGAGGAGAUGCCAAUGUUUGCUUGAGCUCCUAAAAAGCUUUCUCACAGUCUUCACUCCAAUCAAAGCCUUGGUUUCCUCUGAGGACUUUGAAGAAGGGAUUGCACCUGUCUGAUGCUCGGGACAUGAACCUGUUCAAGGCUGCUAUUCUACCAGUCAACCUCUGUACCUCUUUCUUGUUCCUUGGUGAUUCCAUAGAUGCCAAGGCUUGUCUUUUGUUAGGGUCAGCCUCUAUCCCCCGGUGAGUGAUCAUAAAGCCCAAGAACUUGCCCGAGGCUACGCCGAAUGCACAUUUUGCGGGGUUUAACUUCAUUCUGUACUUUCGCAAGGUGUCGAAAACCUCUUCAAGAUCUGAAAUAUGCCGGUCCACCUAUUUGCUCUUGACCACCAUGUCAUCAACGUACGUCUCUACAUUCCUUCCAAUCAAGUUAGCAAAGACUUUGUUGAUGAGCCUUUGGUAUGUUGCCCCUGCAUUCUUCAAAUCGAAAGGCAUGACCUUAAACAGUA